rnacentral:lncRNA from 1 species
CGGCAGAGGAUUCUGCACUUCACAAAGCCACAGAACAAACCAGCCAAACGAUGUGUAAACAGACUCAGAGGGGCUGAGGGCUUGAUCCUGUAACACAAAGUAGAUCCAAAAAGAUUUCUGAAACUGUGAUAGCCAUACAUCUAUAGGGAAUCUGACUCUGGAAAGCCAGGGGGAACAGCUUUUUGUGGAGGAUUUGAAUGGGAAGAAUGAAGUGAAGAGUAAGUACCCUCCUUCCUUGCCUCACUGGAACCGUCUGUGUUAUUAGUUGAAUGCCUGGCCACUGGGAUGUCUCAGCAAUGGUGAGGCCUGUGGUGAAGCAGCAGUCUGGACACUACCAAUAAGU